GAGUCAAAAAAAAAAAUGCUUUUGGCGAAUAGCUAAGGACUCAAAGUUGAUGAAGGGCGUGUUUACCUGCGAAAAAUUCUUGUAAAUUGGAAAAAAAUAUCAAGAAAUUCCCCAAUAGAGCAAUCUUUAAAACUAUUGAAAUAAUUCAUAAAUCAAUAAGAAAUAACUUAGUGAAUUGAAACAUCUUAUUAACUAAAGGAAAAGAAAGCAAACGCGAUUUCCUAAGUAGCGGUGAGCGAAACGGAAAAAGUCUAAACUCAUUAAUUAUGAGGGUAGUGGGAAAUAAAAACAAUAUGGAUUUCAGCAACUUUAAAAGAUAUAACCAAAUAGUAUAUAAUACAAAGGAAAUGUAAUCAGCUGAAACCUGUACCAUAGAUGGUGAAAGUCCAGUAUUUUUCCUUUUAUAUCAUGUUUCCCAAGUAACUUGGGGCACGUGAAAUCCCUUGUGAAUCAACGAGAACCACCUCGUAAGACUAAAUACUCUUGAGUCACUGAUAGUGAAAAGUACCGUGAGGGAAAGAUGAAAAAGAACCCCUAAUAGGGGAGUGAAAGAGAUUAUGAAAUCAAAAGCAAUCAAUCAGUGGGAGGAAAUAAUUUUCUGACCACUUGCCUGUUGAAGAAUGAGCCGACGACUCAUAAUUAUUGGCAAGGUUAAAGAUAUUUUCUGAAGCCAAAGUGAAAACAAGUCUGAAAAGGGCAUUUAUCGUCAAAGAUUAUGGACCCGAACCCGAGUGAUCUAACCAUGACCAGGAAGAAACAUAGAUAAUACUAUGUGGAUGUCCGAACUGACCGAUGUUGAAAAAUCGGCAGAUGAGUUGUGGUUAGGGGUGAAAUGCUAAUCGAACUCGGAGCUAGCUGGUUCUCUUCGAAAUGUGUUGUGGCGCAGCGGUUGUCGAUGGAUUAUAUAAGAGGUAGAGCACUGUUUCUAUGAGGGCUAGUAAAAUAGUACUAAAUUGUCGCAAACUCCUAAUACUUAAUAAUUUUCUGACAAAAAGUGAGACUCUGGGGGAUAAGCUCCAGUGUCGAGAGGGAAACAGCCCAGAUCAUUAGUUAAGGCCCCUAAAUAGUAAUUGAGUGUUAAAGGAAGUGUCUUCGCUAAUACAUCCAGAAGGUUAGCUUAGAAGCAGCGAUUCCUUAAAAGAGUGCGUAAUAGCUCACUGGUACUAAGCGUAAAUGCACCAAAAAUGUCCGGGACUAAAUUAUUUGCCGAAGCUAUGAGGAUAUUUUAAAAAUUAAAUAUUCCGGUAGAAGAGCGUUCUGCUUAUAAUGUGAAGACUUAUUGAAAAAAAGGUUGGAUUUAACAGAAGUGAAAAUGUCGGCUUGAGUAACGUAAACAUUGGUGAGAAUCCAAUGCCCCGAAAACCUAAGGUUUCCUCUACCAGGCUCGUCCGUGGAGGGUUAGUCAGGUCCUAAAAUGAGACUGAAAAGUGUAAUUGAUGGAAAAAAGGUUAAUAUUCCUUUACUUGUUUAAAUUAAGUGACAAAGGACGAAGUAGAUUUUAUAAUAAUAUCUCAUCCAUACAAAAAAAAUAUGAAAAAAAUACCUAAUUUAUAGAAAAGCAGAAAAACUUUAUAUAUAUAUAAAUUUUAUUAUACUUCAUACUUCCAAGAAAAGUUUGUGACACAAAUAAAUAAUUUAAAUAACCUGUACCAUAAACCGACACAGGUAGGUAAGUUGAGUAUACUAAGGGGCGCGAGCGAACUCUCUCUAAGGAACUCGGCAAAAUAGCCCCGUAACUUCGGGAGAAGGGGUGCCUCUAAUGAGGCCGCAGUGAAAUGACUCGUUGAACUGUUUAACAAAAACAUAGGUCUCCGCUAAUUCGCAAGAUGAUGUAUGGGGGCUGACGCCUGCCCAGUGCCGGAAGGUUAAAGAAAUUAGUAACAAAGCUAAUAACUGAAGCCCCGGUGAACGGCGGCCGUAACUCUGACGGUCCUAAGGUAGCGAAAUUCCUUGUCACGUAAGUUGUGACCCGCACGAAAGGUGUAAUCAAAUGAGUACUGUCUCAGAGAGAGACUCGGUGAAAUAGACAUGUUCGUGAAGAUGCGAACUUCUUAUCGUUGGACAGAAAGACCCCGGGAGCUUUACUGUAUCUUGAUAUUGAAUUCCAGUUAUUUUUGCGCAGUCUAAGUGGGAGGUUAAGAAUUUGAAUUUGUGGAUUCAAAGGAGCCAACAUUGAGAGACCACUCUGAAAUAGCGCGAAUUCUCAAAGUGUUUCCUUGAAACAGGACACUUUACAGUGUCAGGUGGGCAGUUUUUUUGGGGCGAAAACCUCCCAAAAAGUAACGGAGGUUUGCAAAGGUUUCCUCAGACUGGACGGAAAUCAGUUGUUGAGUGCAAAGGCAAAAGGGAGCUUGACUGUAAGACUAAUAAGUCGAACAGAGACAAAAGUCGGCCUUAGUGAUCCGACGGUAUAACCUUGUGGAAGGGCCGUCGCGCAAAAACUAAAAGUUACCCCGGGGAUAACAGGCUCAUCUUCCCCAAGAGUUCACAUCGACGGGAAGGUUUGGCACCUCGAUGUCGUCUUUUCGCAACCUGGGGCGGUAGUAUGUCCCAAGGGUUGGGCUGUUCGCCCAUUAAAGCGGAACACGAGAUGGGUUCAGAACGUCGUGAGACAGUUUGGUCCAUAUCCACGAUAAGCGUAAGAAUAUUAAGAGGAUUCUUUCAUAAUACGAGAGGACUUGAACGAACAUACCGCUGGUAUACCAGUUCUUAUAUCAAUGGGAAAUGCUGGGUAGCUACGUAUGGAGUAGAGUACCGCUGAAAGCAUCUAAGUGGGAAACUCACCUCAAGAUGAAUAUUCUCUAAUAGAUUCCGGUGAGAUUAACCGGUUGAUAGGUUUUAAGUGUAAGAUUCGUAAGAAUUUAAGCUAAGAAAUACUAAUAAUUAAUUGUUUUUGACUUU
rnacentral:rRNA from 1 species